AUUCCCGUAGCUCAAAAUUGGUAGAGCGCUGGUCUCCAAAACCAGAGGAUGCAGGUUCGAACCCUGCCGGGAGUG
rnacentral:tRNA from 1 species